rnacentral:lncRNA from 1 species
AUUUUACAAAUAUUUCUGUCCACUUCCUGCUUUUCCGUGGUUAUUAAAAUAUUUCUCUAUAGCUAUAUGGAAGCAGUCUAUUGCCAUUUCCUUUCUCACCCCUUUGGCUUUCUUUACCCUAGAGCUCUUUUUAUCAGUGCCAUGCAUUUAAAAUCUUUCAGUUCAGUGAAGAUUAAAGGCAGAAUCAUAGUCAAGCCAAAUGGUCUUUCCCCACAAAGGCUAUGGGGCCCCAGGGCAAAUCAUCCCUGGUUCAAUGCUUUCUAUUCUUAACAUUGCUGCUAUAAGUGGUAAGUGAAAGCAAGUUAAAAUAAAAAAAGGCAGGUGGGAGGGCAGGUGUAUCAGUUUGAGUCUCCGCAGGAUGCAAAUGACACUAGCACACUGGAUAAUUUGAAGAGACUUUAACAAAGGGAUUUCACAUGGUGUAAACAAGUUACAAUUGCAUGAACAAGUUCAUGAAAAUGAAGAAGGAAUAACAAGCCCCUGAACUUGAAGAGGGUGGGUCCCUCAAUUGCCCCCACACCAUAAGUCCCACAAACAAGACCAGCUCAUGGGGGCAUGAAGACAAAGCUGACACAAGUGAUGAAAUCAGGCCAGUGGUUCUGAGCAUCCAGCCUCCAGGCCAGUGUUCUGUGACAUAGCAUCCCAUGAGACCACCGUAAGAGUCACCUGGACUUCCUAUCACUCAAAGAACCAAGAAUCUUGUACCACGUUCAUCUCUCUCCAACAACACGAAUUCUACGAUAAAAAUCCAUUUCAGUAUGGCAAGAUUUUUUAAGUCCACCUAGCUGGUGUUGAGAAUAACUCGAGGCAGAGGACGUUCAAUGAAAGCAGAAUAACUUUUCCUUCUUGAUUGGAUAUGCAGUAAAGAUAAAUGAUAAACCACUUCAGAGGUACAUAGAAUUAUGCUCAUUUUAUGACUCCUUUCUUCUUAGGAUCUCAGAGCAAUUAUGUAAAGAAUGCUCAUGUUCACAUUAUACUAAGGUACUACAUAUCUGCACAAGAAAAAGAGAAGCUCAUUCGCUGCCCUUCCCUCCACUCACUUUGUGUGUGGUGUGUGGGUGUACUUAAACAGUGUGCCUAUUUAUAUUCAAUCACAUAUGGACGCUAUAUAUGAAUUAGGUAUCUAUAAUGCAGAUAUUUUAAAUAUUUGUUUACCACCAACUGUUUAACUGGGAUUUCCAUGAAUAGAAUAAAAGAUGUAUGUGCUAAAUAUAUAUGUAGUUGUAUAUGGGUAUCUGGUACAAUUUACUAUUAUUUCUUUUUAUGGGCCAAGCAGGAAAAAAAGAAAACCAAAUAUUCUAAAUAAAUUUUGUCCAUUUCCAUUUCCCAUACCAUGAAACAAUAUGCUUAAUACACAAUAAACACGAUUUUUAAGGGAAAAGAAAGAGAGGAUAUUAUCUAUAGAAAGAUGAAAGCCCAAUUUUUUAGAAGUCACAAUGGCUAAUUAUUAUUCAUUCUUUUUGUAGAAAAUAUUUGCAUGUUUAAGUCCAACAUACAUGUAAAUAUUUUAAACAAACAAAAACAUGCCAGGGAUAACAAUAAACUAUUUCUGAGUUGGGGAGAAAAAAAGCCUGCCAGGAGUAGGCAUGUAUAUUUUUAAGCAUACUGCUUCAAAAAGCAGGAUGUCAGGAUGUUGCAUCUUUAAUUUUUCUGUUAAUUAUGGAUUGAGCAUUGUUGUGAAUCUUGUCCUCAAAACCAAGCUCAGAAAAUAAGAGCAGAUGCUCAUCCCCAGGUUUGGCUCAUAUGGGAAUUGAAUGGAACAUAUUGGUUUAUAAUUAAUGUAAUUUGUUGGAUUAUCUUUUGUGAAGGAGCGAAGGUAAACAACCUUGCAGCAUUGUGGUAAUAUCUUCAGAGCUUGGAGCUUCUAUAGUUAUGGAGGGAAAAAAGAAUGAAAAUGAAAAAAAAAAAAAAUCUCUUCCUGCAAGAUUACAGAGAAUUUUGAAAUGUCUGUCACAUUCAAAUGUACUUUAAUUAAUUCAAAGGAAAGAAUUAGGUGAGAGACCCUAAAGCUAAUUACAAAUAGUAUGUAAACUAGAAGCCAUUGGUUUCCCAAUGGAGAAUUUUGAUAAACUGGAUUUUCUUUUCUAUUUGCUUUAACUUUAUUACAGAAUAAGUAGGGAAAUGGAAGAGAAUAUUUUCCCUUCUCUCUAAUCAGA